rnacentral:rRNA from 1 species
UACGGAGGGUGCGAGCGUUGUCCGGAAUCAUUGGGCGUAAAGAGCUCGUAGGCGGCUCGGUAAGUCGGGUGUGAAACCUCCAGGCUCAACCUGGAGACGCCACCUGAUACUGGUGUGACUAGAGUCCGGUAGGGGAGUGUGGAACUCCUGGUGUAGCGGUGAAAUGCGCAGAUAUCAGGAAGAACACCAGCGGCGAAGGCGGCACUCUGGGCCGGUACUGACGCUGAGGAGCGAAAGCGUGGGUAGCAAACAGG